CUGAGUUUUUAACUCUCCAAACCAUGUGAACUUACCACUGUUGCCUCGGUGGUCGGUGCUGGAAACAGUGCUGCCACCGGUGGACUACUAAACUCUUGUUAAUUUUUGUCAAAUCUGAAUCAAAACUAAGAAAUAAGUUA
rnacentral:misc_RNA from 1 species